AGCUACAGGCUUAACACAUGCAAGUCGAGGGGCAGCAUGGUCUUAGCUUGCUAAGGCCGAUGGCGACCGGCGCACGGGUGAGUAACACGUAUCCAACCUGCCGUCUACUCUUGGACAGCCUUCUGAAAGGAAGAUUAAUACAAGAUGGCAUCAUGAGUCCGCAUGCUCACAUGAUUAAAGGUAUUCCGGUAGACGAUGGGGAUGCGUUCCAUUAGAUAGUAGGCGGGGUAACGGCCCACCUAGUCUUCGAUGGAUAGGGGUUCUGAGAGGAAGGUCCCCCACAUUGGAACUGAGACACGGUCCAAACUCCUACGGGAGGCAGCAGUGAGGAAUAUUGGUCAAUGGGCGAGAGCCUGAACCAGCCAAGUAGCGUGAAGGAUGACUGCCCUAUGGGUUGUAAACUUCUUUUAUAAAGGAAUAAAGUCGGGUAUGCAUACCCGUUUGCAUGUACUUUAUGAAUAAGGAUCGGCUAACUCCGUGCCAGCAGCCGCGGUAAUACGGAGGAUCCGAGCGUUAUCCGGAUUUAUUGGGUUUAAAGGGAGCGUAGAUGGAUGUUUAAGUCAGUUGUGAAAGUUUGCGGCUCAACCGUAAAAUUGCAGUUGAUACUGGAUAUCUUGAGUGCAGUUGAGGCAGGCGGAAUUCGUGGUGUAGCGGUGAAAUGCUUAGAUAUCACGAAGAACUCCGAUUGCGAAGGCAGCCUGCUAAGCUGCAACUGACAUUGAGGCUCGAAAGUGUGGGUAUCAAACAGGAUUAGAUACCCUGGUAGUCCACACGGUAAACGAUGAAUACUCGCUGUUUGCGAUAUACGGCAAGCGGCCAAGCGAAAGCGUUAAGUAUUCCACCUGGGGAGUACGCCGGCAACGGUGAAACUCAAAGGAAUUGACGGGGGCCCGCACAAGCGGAGGAACAUGUGGUUUAAUUCGAUGAUACGCGAGGAACCUUACCCGGGCUUAAAUUGCAGAUGAAUUACGGUGAAAGCCGUAAGCCGCAAGGCAUCUGUGAAGGUGCUGCAUGGUUGUCGUCAGCUCGUGCCGUGAGGUGUCGGCUUAAGUGCCAUAACGAGCGCAACCCUUGUUGUCAGUUACUAACAGGUUCCGCUGAGGACUCUGACAAGACUGCCAUCGUAAGAUGUGAGGAAGGUGGGGAUGACGUCAAAUCAGCACGGCCCUUACGUCCGGGGCUACACACGUGUUACAAUGGGGGGUACAGAGGGCCGCUACCACGCGAGUGGAUGCCAAUCCCAAAAACCUCUCUCAGUUCGGACUGGAGUCUGCAACCCGACUCCACGAAGCUGGAUUCGCUAGUAAUCGCGCAUCAGCCACGGCGCGGUGAAUACGUUCCCGGGCCUUGUACACACCGCCCGUCAAGCCAUGGGAGCCGGGGGUACCUGAAGUGCGUAACCGCGAGGAGCGCCCUAGGGUAAAACUGGUGACUGGGG
rnacentral:rRNA from 1 species